AUGGUUUCCCUCUAUGUUUCCUUUUUUAAAAUAUUUCAAAAAAAUUCUCUACCUUCUCUUUCUUUCUUCUGGUCUACCCCUUUCUCUUUCUCUUUCCUAUUUCAAAAUCAUUUCACUCUCUUCUUCCAUAUCAAACUCUCUUCUCUCUCUUUUUCGCUGAAACCCUACAACUAUGCCAAUUCAUCAAAAUUCAAGCAAAGAAAUAAUAGACAAAAAAGAACAAGAAAUGAAAUUAGGGUUAUGAUGGAUAACCGGAGAUCCAACAAUCGACAGAGAGAAUGGUGAAGAACUGAUGUGCGUCCAAGCCCAUGUCGAUAUAAGUUACGGUGGCUACGGGUUUGUCGGGUGUGUCUAGAUCUGAUUAUUGGUAGAAGAUUUUACGGUGGUCCGGAUUGUGCCGUCGGCGGUGAGUAUGGGUGGGUUUUCCGAUGAUUUGUUGUGUUUCAAACGAUUUAGUUUCAUUUCAUUUUUUUAGAUCCAGUUUCUUCCCUUGUCAUAUGAGGUAUUAUCGGUGAGAAUGAAAAAUCAAUUGAUGAUUUUGGAAAACGUCAGGUACCGAUAUGUCUGCUAUUGAUGUUUAUUCUUACUUUGUUUGGUUUUAUUUUUGUUUUGAAAUUGUUUAUGAAUUGAUUAAUGUUUGAAGGUUGCUGAAAUUGUUGUGAAUGUGAUGCUAACUAAUAAAAGCAAGUAUUGGUUAUCAGAUGGAGAAGAUGAUGAUGAAUUUGAAGGAAAAAAACAAACUCAGAGGUUGGGUAAAGCUAUUACUCAGCUUAAAUUCAACUUAUGGGAGCAACCCUGUAAGUUUUGUUUGUUUGUUUCAAUUUUGUAAGUAUCUUUUAACGUUGAUGGUUAAUUUUGUCUUUCACAUAAUCUCUUUAUAACUUUGAUUCUUUCUGGAUAAAUCAGGCCUUUGAUUUUGUAAGUAUUUUUUUUUUGCUUAUUUACUUAGGAUCUAUAUUUUGAAUUUGUUCAAGUUGUUAAGUCAAACCUAUCAUGUGUUUCUGGUGGAAUGUAUUAUAUUAUCUUUAAGGCAAAGGCAAAACAAGAAGCUUCUAGCACCCUUUCUACAAUUUUCCAGGCCCAAGUCUGGAACAGGAGGACUGCCCUGCCUGAGGCCAAGUCUUGUGCCAUCAAAACCUAACUAUGCUAAUAACGUUGAAGAUUAAUGCUUUCCAACUGACAGUACAUGCUCUAGAAAUGUCGUUGCUUCCAUCAGUUCUCGCAAUACGGUUGUGGUGUAUGCUCUAGAAACAUGACAGUUUGUGCAUAGUGGUUGAUUCCGUCGAAUUCGGAGAGGUGAUCUGACUUCUAACAUCGGAUUCCCAGUGGCAAUGCAAUGAAUUGGAGUGCCUGUUAAAAGGGAAGACAAGAAUAGACUACAUGAGGUGGGUUAUGGUGAUGUUGGGGGUGUUAGAAAGUAGAUAGCUCAGAUUCUUGAAUUGGUGGAACUUCCAUUGAGGCAUCCAUAAUUAUUCAAGUCAUUUGGUGUUAAGCCACCAAAAGGGAUUUUGUUGUAUGGAUCCCCUGGAUCUGCCUCCAGUUGCAGCACUCCGCAUCAACUCUGCCUUCUCAACUGUUGUAUUCCCAGAUUUUGUCCUAUAAUGGUGGAACGAAUUUGAUCCAACAAAAUUGAAGUUUUACUGGUGCAGUGGAUAUGUUGCUCAUCUGUUUGUUCGGGAAUCUAACUUCAACAUAUCUUGGAUCAUUGUGCAUAUUAUUUUAAAAUUUGAUAUCUGCUUUAUCUUUGCAUCUGUUACAAGUUAUGGAUAUUGAUCAAAUUAGGUGAUGAUGAAUAUGAUAUUUGAGUGUA